AUUUUUUUCUUAACUUGGCAUCUGUGGGAGGUACUGUUUUCCUCAGGUUUCUGUACCACUUUCUAACAACACAUCCUCUCCAGUAGGCUUGGAUUCUAAAACACAGAUAUUUGAAAAUGACUAAUUUAUGAUGACUCUAUGUCAACCAAUACUUCAGUAGUUGUUAUAAGCCCUGUGCUGUACAAGGCCCUGGGGAAAUUAUGGUGGCCAAGAAGAGAGAUAAAAUCCCACUAUUCAAAAAACAAGUUAGUUGUCAUAGCCUGAUCUGUGUCUGCUUAGCGCCAAACGGGCCUGGCGUCCUCACCUGGUCACACACUUGAUUCUGAACAGGCGGGCCCCAUCGUGUAUCACUCGGGUUUGAUACUGGUUCUUUCUACAGAGAGGACAGGUUUUCUUAUUUGUGAACUUUUCAAAAGCCUGAAGACAUGCCUGAAGAAAAACAUUUCACUUAAAAUUUUACAAGUAAUUACUUAUAAACAACGUUUUUACUUCCAAUGUUAGUGUUCUAAUUAUAGUGUUCUUUUCUCCCAUAACUAUGAGACUUAGCCCAAUUUAGGUUAUAAAGUGAGGAGGCUUCAUCAGGUGCUACCACCUUCCUCACAAAACCUGUUCCAAAAAUGAUUUCUUACAAGAAUAUACAUGCAGAGACAUCAAAAACUUCUGAAAUCCACUAGCACAAAGAUGGUGGUGAUGAAUAAAAUAAAUGGCUCUCCUUAGGAGCCUUGAAAAUGACUAUGGUUUCUCUGCACUGUGAGAGCGACAUGUGCAGCACCUGGGCAGGCGUGAGGGGUGGACUUACUUUGUGGAACACAUGGGAGCAUGAAAGCAGCACCUGUUCAUGAGGAAACAGAACGACGUUGAAGUUUACAAAAGAGAAGCAGCAUGUAUCCAACAGUUAAAAUCCUGAAUGCUUAGAAGGGAAAGUGUGCUCACAAGAAAACUUCACCUUUCUGUGACCCAAAUUCCCCACUAAACAGUGAUAUACUGGGCUGUGACAAAAGACUGAAGCUUAGACCAAAUGAAGAAGAAGGCAGUGGGUACUUAGUAGAAGGGACAGCCGCCAGCCCACCAGCGCCAGGCCCUGCGGGCUGCCACACAAAGGCCAGGCUCCUGCUUCCCUUGGGAGGGGCUGCUUUCAGCAACGGGGAGGAAAGCAGGGGAAACUUGUGAGACUGAGCAAAGCGGUGGGGUCAGGCGAAGGGUUUUCCCUUUUUGUCAAGAAUCUGACUUGGGUGACCACAGUCUGGGGCACUCCUGGGUGAGGUUUCAAUCUCAGCCGGCCCAGGAUGCCUGCUGUGGGGAAAACUUAACAGUUUUUAAAGUGAAUCCCACCUGCCUUCACUCAAUGUAUGCUUUUCUUCUUAAAUGGAAGAAAUACAGAAAUAACUAGAACUCAGAAAGUUGUAAAACCUUUUCUUGAAACUUAUUGCCAAGAGUAAGUCUGAAUUGAAUAAACUCAGUAAUAGGGUCCUUUUUCAUUACCACCAUUUAAUAGCAAUCUUUUCUAUACUUAAUUCAUUCUUUAUAGAAUACUUUUCAGUGUUUUAUCAACAUAUAUUCUAUCUAUAUGGAGCAACAUUAGACGUCAGUAUAUUAAAGUGUUAUCUUUUUAAGUGUCCCCAAAUAUUUGUUAUUGGCAAACAUUCUCUGAUGUAACAAAAAUCAAGGAUUAAGUAGUGGAAAACACACUAAAAAUGGCCUAGAAGUUAGGAUUGGAUUCCAGCAGGACUCUGAUACUUUCUGCGUCGGCCUACUAUGAGUCAUUUGAAUUGUUUUUAUUCCCUCAUCUGCUAAAUGGGCAGAAUGCCUACUAUACGGAAUUAAUUGAAGGCCCUCUGAAAUCACUAAAUGUUAUAAAAAUGCCAACUAUUGUUUAUAACUAAGGAAAAAUCUGAACAUGGAAAUGAUCACUGGAAAUGCAAAAUAUACAGGAUGGGUCUUAUAUCAAAACCAAGUAAAAAUAAUGGAAUUUAGUGAGAAAUUUAUAAAAAUCAGAAAGAAAUGUUGGGCAGGGUACACCCUGAUCCCCAUAAGAUAGUAACUUUCACUUUUCAUUCUUCAUACAGACACUCGGGUUGGAUAUUUUAGUAUAAGUAAGAAAGAGGGUGCUUAGCCAGAAAGACACCCUCUGGCUUUAUUCACAGUUUUGCUACAUUAAAUUACUAAAUUAUCCUAGACAAUUUGUGGUUUCAGGGCUAAAAUCUGUCCAAAAUACCCAACUUUCACAUAUGUAAGAUUAGGUCCUGAUAGAGAACUGGAAUAUAAUAAGUAUGUCUAAAGUAACUUAUGAAUUCAAAUUAGUGAAUAGAAGUGUAACUGUUGUGAGCUUUCUUGCUGAUGAAACCUACUCAAAUUCAAUGAAGACUCAGAGUUCAUUUGCCCAGAUUGUAAUAAGCCUGGGUUCCUAGGCUACAAACUCCAAGGCUGAUUUUAACUGUAUUUGCUGUGUUUUCUCAGCAAAUCUCUGAGGGCCUGCUAUGCAGGAAGCGUAAUGCCACACCACGUGGGAAAUUGUUACAGGGCAACCACGCACGCACGUGCACGCACACACACACUUCUGAUAAAUCUAAGUGUCCCCAACUUCAGGGGACAAUAGUUUAGUUAGGCAGACAAAAUAUGUAUAGAAAAAACCCUAUAUGCAUUCUCUCUCUCUCUCUCUAUAUAUAUAUAUGCAUUCUCUCUCUCUCUCUGUGUGUGUGUGUGUGUGUGUGUGCGCGCGCGUGUAUAUUAUCUGUUAACCCAGAGUAGUAUCAUCAGUCUUACUAUGGUAAAGUUUCAUGAAUAAAAAUCAUUAAAAGAUUUUACUUUUCUUAAAGAUUCUCUCACAAAUUCUUUGGAGACAUUCAAGCACAGUUUUUUUUUUCUUUUCUGACUCAAAUCACAAAACCACUUAAGAGUCCCUCUGCUUUCAUCCUUCCCGCGCUGGGACACAGCUGCUCCUGGGAAGCCCCCCAGUUGUCUGCACAGCCGC
rnacentral:lncRNA from 10 species